rnacentral:lncRNA from 1 species
GGAAGAUCAUGGAGUCUGAAGUUCGGCACAUAUGCUGGGAAAUCCCACCUUGUGUGAAAUGGCUAGGAGGAACUUGAAGGGACAGAAGUGCCCCACAUCCUCUUCGUUACAUAGAGGAGAAAAGCCUGUGAAGAGAAGCUGGGCUGGCUUGGGCUGCAGGAACCCGUCCUGAGCUGGACUCUGUUGCUGUCCCACACAUGGCUAUUUUGAUUUGGCCUGACUCCACAGCACAGUGGAGCCUGGCGAUUCCCAGUGGUGGCGAGUGGCCGGAGGCCAGCAGCCUGGCAUGGAGCCUGUCUGGUCAGGGACACUGGACUGUUUCCCUGUCUUUACCCCUGGCUUUCAGCAAGUCUCCUUCAGAGCUCCAGCUUAGUCUGGGUCAUAUUAUGAGGAAUUGGGAAGGCUCUUUCUCCAUCUCAGAAGGAGCAGCCAACGAGAGAGCCAUGUCCCCUUCUUGGGUCCAGUGUAGGAAGUUCAUUGGCAGUUGCCAGCAGAAGACGGCUGUGUCUGAAGGCUCUGCCGCCUCAUAUUGAUCUUUGGAACAGAGCAGUAGAGACAUGGCUUCUGUGGAGGAGCACAGAACAGAAGGACACAAGGGCCUGUUUUGUUUCUUUCAAUCUUUAACACGG